UACGGGGGGGCUAGCGUUGUUCGGAAUUAUUGGGCGUAAAGGGCGCGUAGGCGGCCGAGCCAGUCCAAGGUGAAAUCCCCCGGCUCAACCGGGGAACUGCCUCGGAUACUGCUUGGCUUGAGUCCCGGAGAGGGUAGCGGAAUUCCCAGUGUAGCGGUGAAAUGCGUAGAUACUGGGAGGAACACCAGUGGCGAAGGCGGCUACCUGGACGGGUACUGACGCUGAGGCGCGAAAGCGUGGGGAGCAAACAGGAUUAGAUACCCGCGUA
rnacentral:rRNA from 1 species